rnacentral:rRNA from 1 species
ACACUCCUGCGGGAGGCAGCAGUGGGGAAUUUUGGACAAUGGGCGAAAGCCUGAUCCAGCAAUGCCGCGUGCAGGAUGAAGGCCUUCGGGUUGUAAACUGCUUUUGUACGGAACGAAAAAGCUCCUUCUAAUACAGGGGGCCCAUGACGGUACCGUAAGAAUAAGCACCGGCUAACUACGUGCCAGCAGCCGCGGUGAUACGUAGGGUGCGAGCGUUAAUCGGAAUUACUGGGCGUAAAGCGUGCGCAGGCGGUUAUGUAAGACAGAUGUGAAAUCCCCGGGCUCAACCUGGGAACUGCAUUUGUGACUGCAUGGCUAGAGUACGGUAGAGGGGGAUGGAAUUCCGCGUGUAGCAGUGAAAUGCGUAGAUAUGCGGAGGAACACCGAUGGCGAAGGCAAUCCCCUGGACCUGUACUGACGCUCAUGCACGAAAGCGUGGGGAGCAAACAGGAUUAGAAACCCUGGUAGUCCCAUGAU